rnacentral:rRNA from 1 species
GACGAACGCUGGCGGCGUGCCUAAUACAUGCAAGUAGAACGCUGAAGAGAGGAGCUUGCUCUUCUUGGAUGAGUUGCGAACGGGUGAGUAACGCGUAGGUAACCUGCCUUGUAGCGGGGGAUAACUAUUGGAAACGAUAGCUAAUACCGCAUAACAAUGGAUGACACAUGUCAUUUAUUUGAAAGGGGCAAUUGCUCCACUAAAAGAUGGACCUGCGUUGUAUUAGCUAGUAGGUGAGGUAACGGCUCACCUAGGCGACGAUACAUAGCCGACCUGAGAGGGUGAUCGGCCACACUGGGACUGAGACACGGCCCAGACGCCUACGGGAGGCAGCAGUAGGGAAUCUGCGGCAAUGGGGGCAACACUGACCGAGCAACGCCGCGUGAGUGAAGAAGGUUUUCGGAUCGUAAAGCUCUGUUGUAAGUCAAGAACGAGUGUGAGAGUGGAAAGUUCACACUGUGACGGUAGCUUACCAGAAAGGGACGGCUAACUACGUG